GAUGAACGCUGGCGGCGUGCCUAAUACAUGCAAGUCGAGCGGUAAGGCUCCUGCAGUUUAUUUGAUUAUGAUUGCGCUCGCAGAGUAAACCAGUUUACUGGUGUGCGAAGCGAAGGCAAUCACAACAGACCCAAUCAACCCCCGACUAGGGAAGAGACGGCGAGGGAAAAUCGAAUGAAGUGCUGGAGUACACGAGCGGCGGACGGCUGAGUAACGCGUAGGAACGUACCCCAAACUGAGGGAUAAGCACCAGAAAUGGUGUCUAAUACCGCAUGUGCUCUAAGGAGUAAAGCUUCGGCGGUUUGGGAACGGCCUGCGUACGAUUAGAUUGUUGGUGAGGUAAUGGCUCACCAAGUCGACGAUCGUUAGCUGGUCUGAGAGGAUGAUCAGCCAGACUGGGACUGAGAACGGCCCAGACUCCUACGGGAGGCGAGCAGUAGGGAAUUUUACCACAAUGGACGAAAGUCUAGAUGGAGCAACGCCGCGUGACG
rnacentral:rRNA from 1 species